rnacentral:rRNA from 1 species
CCUACGGGAGGCAGCAGUGGGGAAUAUUGCGCAAUGGGCGAAAGCCUGACGCAGCGACGCCGCGUGAGGAAUGAAGGUCUUCGGAUCGUAAACUUCUGUCAGCAGGGAAGAACGGUCACUGUGCUAAUCAGCAGUGAAUUGACGGUACCUGCAAAGGAAGCACCGGCUAACUCCGUUCCAGCAGCCGCUGUAAUACGGAGGGUGCGAGCGUUAAUCGGAAUUACUGGGCGUAAAGCGCUCGUAGGCGGUAUGUCAAGUCAAGGGUGAAAUCCCCGCGCUCAACGUGGGAACUGCCUUUGAAACUGGCAAACUGGAGUGUGUGAGAGGAUAGUGGAAUUCCAGGUGUAGGAGUGAAAUCCGUAGAUAUCUGGAGGAACAUCAGUGGCGAAGGCGACUAUCUGGCACAUAACUGACGCUGAGGAGCGAAAGCGUGGGUAGCAAACAGGAUUAGAUACCCUGGUAGUC